UACGUAGGGUGCGAGCGUUAAUCGGAAUUACUGGGCGUAAAGCGUGCGCAGGCGGUUCGUUAAGUUCGAUGUGAAAGCCCCGGGCUCAACCUGGGAACUGCAUUGGAAACUGGCGAGCUUGAGUGUGGCAGAGGGGGGUGGAAUUCCGCGUGUAGCAGUGAAAUGCGUAGAUAUGUGGAGGAACACCAGUGGCGAAGGCGACUCUCUGGGCUGUAACUGACGCUGAGGCGCGAAAGCGUGGGGAGCAAACAGG
rnacentral:rRNA from 1 species